rnacentral:rRNA from 1 species
GGGUCAGUAGGUUGGUCGUGCCACCGGUACGUACUGGUCUCACUGAUUCCUACGUCCUGAAGAACCGUAAUGCCAUUAAUUUGGUGUUGCGGGGAAACAGGACUGUUACUCUGAAAAAAUUAGAGUGUUUAAAGCAAGCUAACGCUUGAAUACAUUAGCAUGGAAUAAUGAAAUAGGACGAUCGAUCCUAUUUUGUUGGUUUCUAGGAUUGACGUA